rnacentral:tRNA from 1 species
GCGGGUAUCGUAUAGUGGUUAUUAUGGAUGCUUCCCAAGCAUCAAAGACGAGUUCGAUUCUCGUUACCCGCUCCA